rnacentral:rRNA from 1 species
CUUCGGAUCUAGUGGCGCACGGGUGCGUAACGCGUGGGAAUCUGCCCUUGGGUUCGGAAUAACGUCGGGAAACUGACGCUAAUACCGGAUGAUGACGAAAGUCCAAAGAUUUAUCGCCCAGGGAUGAGCCCGCGUAGGAUUAGCUAGUUGGUGGGGUAAAGGCUCACCAAGGCUACGAUCCUUAGCUGGUCUGAGAGGAUGAUCAGCCACACUGGGACUGAGACACGGCCCAGACUCCUACGGGAGGCGGCAGUAGGGAAUAUUGGACAAUGGGGGCAACCCUGAUCCAGCAAUGCCGCGUGAGUGAUGAAGGCCUUAGGGUUGUAAAGCUCUUUUACCCGAGAUGAUAAUGACAGUAUCGGGAGAAUAAGCUCCGGCUAACUCCGUGCCAGCAGCCGCGGUAAUACGGAGGGAGCUAGCGUUGUUCGGAAUUACUGGGCGUAAAGCGCACGUAGGCGGCGAUUUAAGUCAGAGGUGAAAGCCCGGGGCUCAACCCCGGAACUGCCUUUGAGACUGGAUUGCUAGAAUCUUGGAGAGGCGGGUGGAAUUCCGAGUGUAGAGGUGAAAUUCGUAGAUAUUCGGAAGAACACCAGUGGCGAAGGCGGCCCGCUGGACAAGUAUUGACGCUGAGGUGCGAAAGCGUGGGGAGCAAACAGG